rnacentral:rRNA from 1 species
AUUGAACGCUGGCGGCGUGCCUAACACAUGCAAGUCGAACGAAGAUUGGAGCUUGCUUCAAUCUUAGUGGCGCACGGGUGAGUAACGCGUGGAUGAUCUACCCUGGAGUUUGGAAUAACAGUGGGAAACUGCUGCUAAUACCAAAUACCAUCCCAUUUCAUCUAGUGAUCAAAGGCGGUGCAUGCUGUCGCUUGUGGUGGAGUCCGCGUCUCAUUAGCUAGUUGGUAAGGUAAUGGCUUACCAAGGCGACGAUGAGUAGCCGGUCUGAGAGGAUGAUCGGCCACACUGGGACUGGAACACGGCCCAGACUCCUACGGGAGGCAGCAGUGGGGAAUAUUGCGCAAUGGGCGAAAGCCUGACGCAGCGACGCCGCGUGAGGGAUGAAGGUUCUCGGAUCGUAAACCUCUGUCAGAAGGAAAGAAGUGUUGUGGGAGUAACUGCCCGCAAUUUGACGGUACCUUCAAAGGAAGCACCGGCUAACUCCGUGCCAGCAGCCGCAGUAAUAC